rnacentral:rRNA from 1 species
AACAAAUCCCACCACUACCAAAGAACCCUUAAACAAUACUGAACAAUUCUAUAUAACUAUAGAAGAUUUUAUGUUAAAACUAGUAACAAGAAGAAGAACUUCUCCUACAAUGCAAGUAUCAAUCAGACAGGACACACCACUGAUAAUUAACGUCCAUGAACAAAAAUAGCAACCAAACAAGAAAACCCUACUAAACCAUACGUUAACCUAACACUAGAGCAUUUCAAGAAAGAUUAAAAGAAAAAGAAGGAACUCGGCAAACAUUAACCUCGCCUGUUUACCAAAAACAUCGCCUCUUGAAUAAAUAUAAGAGGUCCAGCCUGCCCAGUGACCAUGUUCAACGGCCGCGGUAUCCUAACCGUGCGAAGGUAGCGUAAUCACUUGUUCUUUAAAUAAGGACUAGUAUGAACGGCACCACGAAGGUUAUACUGUCUCCUCUUUCUAAUCAGUGAAACUAAUCUCCCCGUGAAGAAGCGAGGAUAAUAAUAUAAGACGAGAAGACCCUAUGGAGCUUCAAACUACAAGGCACUUGCUUGACACAACUAAAUUUCAGAAAAUCACUAUUACACCAGCAAGAUGACCCUUAGUUUUAGGUUGGGGUGACCGCGGAGAAAAAAACAACCUCCACAUUGAAAGGAGCCCACUCCUUAGCCAAGAGCCACACCUCUAUGCACCAACAAAAAGACAUCAAUUGACCCAAUAUUUUGAUCAACGAACCAAGUUACCCUAGGGAUAACAGCGCAAUCCACUUCAAGAGCCCCUAUCGACAAGUGGGUUUACGACCUCGAUGUUGGAUCAGGGUACCCAGGUGGUGCAGCCGCUACCAAAGGUUCGUUUGUU